rnacentral:rRNA from 1 species
UAAACUAGGAUUAGAUACCCUAUUAUUUAAAGUGUAAAUUAAUGGCCUGAGUAGUAAUAGUUAAGUUCUUGAAACUCAAAGAAUUUGGCGGUAUUUUAGUCUUUUCAGAGGAAUCUGUUUUGUGAUUGAUAAUACGCGUUUAUCUUACUUGAUUUUGUAAAUUCAAUUUGUAUACCUCCGUCAUCAGUUUAUCUUAUUAGGGAAAAUUUUCUUAAUCUUUAAAUAGAGAUUAUGUCAGGUCAAGGUGCAGUUUAUAAUUAAGGAAAAAUGGAUUACAAUAACAUUAAUUUAGACGAAUUUGAUGUUGAAAUAUGUUUAUGAAGGUGGAUUUGAAGGUAAACUUAAAAAUUUUAUUAAGUUGAUUAAAGCUCUAAAAUAUGUACACAUCGCCCGUCGCUCUUAA